rnacentral:rRNA from 1 species
CGCACGGGUGCGUAACGCGUAUGCAACCUACCUUAAUCAGGGGGAUAGCCCGAAGAAAUUCGGAUUAACACCGCAUAAAAUCACAGGACAGCAUUGCCCAAUGAUCAAAUAUUUAUAGGAUUAAGAUGGGCAUGCGUGUCAUUAGCUAGUUGGCGGGGUAACGGCCCACCAAGACGACGAUGACUAGGGGAUCUGAGAGGAUGGCCCCCCACACUGGUACUGAGACACGGACCAGACUCCUACGGGAGGCAGCAGUAAGGAAUAUUGGUCAAUGGAGGGAACUCUGAACCAGCCAUGCCGCGUGCAGGAAGACAGCCCUCUGGGUCGUAAACUGCUUUUAUUCGGGAAUAAACCUACUUACGUGUAAGUAGCUGAAUGUACCGAAGGAAUAAGGAUCGGCUAACUCCGUGCCAGCAGCCGCGGUAAUACGGAAGAUCCAAGCGUUAUCCGGAUUUAUUGGGUUUAAAGGGUGCGUAGGCGGCUUAUUAAGUCAGGGGUGAAAGACGGUGGCUCAACCAUCGCAGUGCCCUUGAUACUGAUGAGCUUGAAUACACUAGAGGUAGGCGGAAUGUGACAAGUAGCGGUGAAAUGCAUAGAUAUGUCACAGAACACCGAUUGCGAAGGCAGCUUACUAUGGUGUGAU